AGAUUUGUGUUAGGAUUUUACUGAGU
rnacentral:piRNA from 1 species